rnacentral:rRNA from 1 species
CGUAACACGUAGGUGACCUGCCUUAGAGUGGGGGACAACCCUGCGAAAGUGGGGCUAAUACCGCAUGGGCUCCAUGAUUCGGUUGAUGGAGUAAAGGACGGAAGUUCGCUCUAAGAGGGACCUGCGGCCUAUCAGCUAGAUGGUGAGGUAACGGCUCACCAUGGCGAAGACGGGUAGCUGGUCUGAGAGGAUGGCCAGCCACACGGGCACUGAGACACGGGCCCG